CUCUCCUCCCUCCUUUUCAUACUUCUCCUUUAUUAUUCCACAAUCUCUAAUAUCCAAUUCAGAAAGGGAGUUGGGUAGAUCCUCCUUCUCUGGCAAGCUCUCAAGACUAGGUCAGUCUAAAAUAUAUAGCCGAUUAAGAGAUUUGAGGUGGAGAAAACUCUUUUUGUUCAUUAUUCUUAGCUUUGAACAAUUAUACAAUUGAAGGAUCUCUAGAGUUGGUGGCAGCAGAUUCUCCUCUGGGAAGGACUCCACGUUUUCAAACUCAUCAGCAACAGUGAAACAUUUCAAGGAAUUGAGUUGGAACAAACCCCACUCCUCUCUCGAACCAAUCAGUUUUGGGCAAUUGUAUAUUCCAAGUUGUAUCAAGUUGGAAGGCAAACCACCCAUUGGAAGGGAUUCCAGCUCUGGACAAUCGUACAGAUACAGAGAUUGAAGUUUGGUGAACAAGUGUAGUUCCAAAGGCAAGGAGGAGGAGCACCAGCCUUUUAUUGAAAGAUCACGAAGAAAAUUAUAGCAACGUAAAUCCAAAGAAGGACAUUUCACAGAGCCACUCCAAUUCAACUCCAACGCUUCAAGAAAGGGAAAAUUGAUUAAAUUUUGGUGCACGGAGAACUCCGUGUACCGAUUUCGCCGAAGGAGUAACUUUUUCAGGCUAGUCGGCAAUUCAUUUACCAAAAUUCUAUCACAAUUCUGUAUAUCUAACUCUAUCAUAUUAUCACUCUUGGGAAUUGAUGCCUCCAACUCGUUGCAAUCAAAUACACCCAGUUUUUGUAAAGAAGGAAGGUGUUGAGGCAGAGCCCUUUUCAAUUCGAGACAAUUUCUUAUAGAAAACACUUUAAGCAAAGGAAACUCUCCAAGGCAUAACAAUUCCUCCAACUCGUUGCAAUCAAAUACACCCAGUUUUUGUAAAGAAGGAAGGUGUUGAGGAAGAGCCCUUUUCAAUUCGGGACAAUUUCUUAUUAAAAACUCUUUAAGCAAAGGAAACUCUCCAAGGCAUAAACAUUCCUCCAACAUGUUGCAAUCAUUGAUCCACAAAUUUUGUAAAGAUGGAAGAUGUUGAGGCAAUACUCUUUUCAAUUUAGGACAAUUUUCUAUAUAAAGCUCUUUAAGCAGAGGAAACCUUACACAUAUCCAUUCCUCCCAGUUGACCAUAUCCUCAAAUCUCAAAUAUUCAAGGGACUUGAAUGGAACAAUUGUUGAAUUAUUGCCAUAAAACUCUUCAUCAAUGAUCUUUAUUCCUUCACAGUCAUAAAUGGAAAGUUUCUUGAGAGAAGGGAGUUGUCCAAGUGUUGGCAAACAGGAACAUAACUUACAACCCUUAAGUUCAAGAGAUACUAAGUUGGGUAAAUGACAACCCCUUAGCCAAUUUGGAAAUCUACUACCUUUGUAGUGUGUAAUGUUGAGCUUCUUCAAGUUGCUAUUUGGUUUUAGAGCCUCCAAAACCAACAGGUUACUUUCAGCCAUUUCUUCUCGUCCGCCAUUGAACUCAGUAUGUAAUUCUUCUAUAUCUUUCAAAUUUAAUGUGGCAGCAUCUGCAGUAUCACUGACAUUACCCAACCCUUUAAUAUGAAUUGUUCCAUGAAGAUGGUUGAGUUUUGCCAAAUCUUUGAGAUCAGAUUCAUUAUGGGCUUCCACAAUAAAAUAUGACAAGGUCUGAAGAUUAUUUAGCUUUCCCAUAUUCUUUGGCAUUUUCUUUAUACAAGGGAGCUCAAGAUGACGUAAAUUGAUGAGUUUGGAAAAAUUUGAAGGGAGCUCAGUCAAUUGAUAACAGUCUUUUAACAAGAGUGUUUGCAAAUUAUACAACAUACAAAUGGUAUCAGGUAAGCUUUUAAUACCAGUGUAUGUAAGGUCUAGAUAACGCAAAAGUUUUAGCUUUCCUAUCUCAUCCACAAGCUCUGAGAGAUGCCAACCACUAAAUGUUAGCAUCCGCAAAAAUUUUAGUCUUGAAAAUAGAUCAUGUUGCAUGUUGUUGGUAAUACACAUUACAACUCCCAUGCCUUGUCCUAACAUCAGACUUCGUAGUCCCUUAAGCUCACAAAUUGGCUCUAGUAAGUUAUCAACACCGUUUGGAUUCGUCAAAAAUAAAUCAUCACCACAUUGUGAUGAAAAAGCGAACUGAAUAUGACGUGUCCUUUCAUUGAUACCUUCCACCCUAGCACCCUCUAUUUGCAUACAAAAUUCUCCUGACACUGAUUUUGUUAAAUCAUUGACAAGAUCAUGCAUGCAAUAGUCCUCAUAUGUACCAAAUGAUCGCUGGAAAAAUGAAAUUGACUCAAGAUCACCGAAAAUUUCAUUACCAAACUCUUCUUCACUUUUGUCUGAUCCGCAACACUUCAGCAAACCUUCUGCCAUCCAAAGCUUGAUCAAUACUUCUUUUUCAAAUCUAUAGCCCUUGGGGAAAAUGGAACAAUACGCAAAGCAACGCUUUAGAUCCGAAGGGAGAUUAUGGUAACUCAAUCUUAGUACUGAGUUAAUGUUGUGGUCCCCAUCUGAUAAACGCCACAUAUCAGUCUCCAAUAUCUUAAUCCAUUCAUGUUCAGAAAUUUUUUUAUGCAGAAGUUGUGCCAAUGAUUUUAUAGCUAAAGGCAACCCUCCACACUUGUCCACUAUUUUCCUCCCAAUUGUUUCAAGAUUUGGAUAUUCACACACACUUUUUCCUUGAAAAGCAUGUGUCACAAAUAAUCUCCAACAAUUGCUUUUUUCCAAUUGUUGUAAAUCAAAUAAUUUGGUUGAUUUUAGAACAUGACAUGCUACCUCCUUUUCACGUGUUGUCACGAUAAUCAUACUUCCAGAAGAUCCAUGGUUAAACGGAAGUAGUAGCUGCUCCCAAUAUUCUACACUCCCAUUCCAUAUAUCAUCUAAAACAAGCAAGUAUUUCUUUCCCAUUAGCAUGUCUUGGAGUUGAUGUUGGAGUUGAUCCAAGUAUUCACCAUCUGCUGAAGGAUUAAAUGACUUGAGAAUUGCUUUGGUGAGUCCAAAAACAUCGAAAGAUUCUGAAACAUAGACCCAUGCUUUAAGUUCAAAAUGCUUCUUUAUCUUGUUGUCGUUGUACACAAGCUUAGCAAGGGUGGUUUUCCCCAUCCCUCCUAAACCCACUAUGCUGAUUAUUGGAACCCGGUUGCCACCGUCAUUGCCUUCAAGUAAAAACUUGAUUAAUUUUUCCUUAUCAACAUCCCUACCAUAUAUGCUUGACUCAUCCACGAGAGCUGUAGACGACAACCUUUUUGAAGGUUUCCAACUGACUAAGCCUUCAUUACUAGCACUAGGACCUUCUCCCAAUCUCAAAUCUUUCUUUUGCUUUGCAAGAAGUUCUAGUUUAUCCAGUUGUUCAUUGAGCCUACAUUCAAAUGGAUUUGUAGUUAAAGCUGAAACGAAACCCAAUAAAUUGGUGGUAAGUGGUUCAGAUUCAGCUUUUUGCUUAUUUAUCAUUGCAUCAGUAGAAAUCUCAUCUAAUAGUUGGUCUGCCUCAUAAACAACAUGUUUAAGUUCAUCAAGCCACUUCUUCACAUAUUUGUUUUGGUACUGCUUUAUCUCUGCUUCGUCUAGUACUUGGUUGAUAGAAUCAAGUGCAAUAUUAAGUUCUUUCACAAGUUCAUCAACAUUGUUACUACUAAAGUAGUCUCUGAUACCAACGGAAGCCAACUUCUCAAUAAUCACUUGAAAGGAAGACUGAAGAAAUGCCCCGGCUACCAACUCUGCCAUGAUAUGUUGAGCCUAAAGCACAAGUCUUAAAGCCUCUGCAAGAUGGAAAUGUGUUCUUUCUAUCAAAUAAAAUGAAUGAAACAAUAAUUAAAUAUAUAAUCAUACGAUGCUACUAGCUAAUACAAUUUUACAACAGUUUGAUAUGAAAUUUACA
rnacentral:lncRNA from 1 species